UACGUAGGCAGCGAGCGUUGUUCGGAGUUACUGGGCGUAAAGAGUGCGUAGGCGGUUUCUAAGUUUGGUGUGAAAUCUCCCGCUUAACUGGGAGGGUGCGCCGAAUACUGGAUGGCUUGAGUUCGGGAGAGGGAUGCGGAAUUCCAGGUGUAGCGGUGAAAUGCGUAGAUAUCUGGAGGAACACCGGUGGCGAAGGCGGCAUCCUGGACCGACACUGACGCUGAGGAGCGAAAGCCAGGGGAGCAAAGCGGG
rnacentral:rRNA from 1 species